rnacentral:lncRNA from 1 species
UUGGUCAGGGUGACCAAGAACCUGAUGGUCACUCUGACAGAACUCUAGAGUUCCUCUGUGGAGAUGGGAGAACCUUCCAGAAGGACAACCAUCUCUGCAGCACUCCACCAAUCAGGCCUUUAUGGUAGAGUGGCCAGACGGAAGCCACUCUUCAGUAAAAGGCACAUGACAGCCCCCUUGGAGUUUACAAAAGGAUUCUCAGACCAUGAGAAACAGUAUUCUCUCCUCUGAUGAAAGCAAGAUUGAACUUUACAAUAAGUCUGUAAUGUAACAUAAUGUGGAAAACUCAAGGGGUCUGAAUACUUUCUGAAUGCACUGAAUGUGCAUUGCUUACUCUAUUGUUUGAUAACCGUAUGUUAGAUUGUUAACUGUUUGUCAAACUGUCUUGCAGAUUGCCCUGAGUCAUGACGGGCAGAUCCAGUAUCUUCCCAUCAGUUCAGAACAACAGAUGGUCAGUCCUGAGGACCUGGAGGUUGCUGAACAUUCUGCCAUUACUGCUGUAGCAGAUGCAGCCUUGCAACAGACCCAGACGGUCUAUACAGAGGCCACACAAGAACAGCUGGAGCAGCUACAACAGCAGGGAAUCCAGUAUGAUGUCAUCACCUUCACCGAUGAGUAGAGACCCUCGGAUGGAAGUCGGGAGGGAUGGCUCUCUGUGAUUGCGGACUUGUCUCCUAGUAUGAUGUCUACUAUUGGCUGCCUGAUGUCCGUAUGUAGUGCAGGACUAGUACGGGGGAACCACGAUGACCAGUGACCUCCAGCAUGGUUCGACAUGAUCGGCCCGAGCGAGACUGCAGAGAAUCUAAAAAUCAUUGUAUAAAAUCAUCCAAAACAGCUACUCAUUAUGCGAUCAAGAUUGGCAAAUCUUGGCAGGGUCUUGCCUAGGUCCAUCCCCUAGAACACACUGCUCUACUCUCUAGAAGCUCUGCCGUGCUUCAGAUACCCAGAACCCACUGCUCUACUCUCUAGGAGCUCUGCCAUGCUUCAGAUACCCAGAACACACUGCUCUACUCUCUAGGAUCUCUGCCGUGCUUCAGAUACCCAUAACCCACUGCUCUACUCUCUAGGAUCUCUGCCGUGCUUCAGAUACCCAUAACCCACUGCUCUACUCUCUAGGAGCUUUGCCAUGCUUCAGAUACCCAUAACCCACUGCUCUACUCUCUAGGAUCUCUGCCGUGCUUCAGAUACCCAUAAUCCACUGCUCUACUCUCUAGGAUCUCUGCCGUGCUUCAGAUACCCAUAACCCACUGCUCUACUCGCUAGGAGCUCUGCCGUGCUUCAGAUACCCAUAACCCACUGCUCUACUCUCUAGGAGCUCUGCCGUGCUUCAGAUACCCAGAACCCACUGCUCUACUCUCUAGGAGCUCUGCCGUGCUUCAGAUACCUGGGAUGCUCGAAGCAGCCCCAGAGAGGAUUCUAGUGGCUGGUAGAUCUAUCACUCAUAGUGGGAGUGAUGAAUAGAUGAACUCUCACUGUUAAGUAGAUCUAUAAACAGAAGCUUUUGUAAAUUCUAAAUAUUGUACCCGUCGCUUCUAAGUUAAUCAAUAGGGGCUGAUGUACAUUAAAGAACAAAGUUACACAUGGUUGGAUGAUCUAGACUGUGUCUGAAAUGCCACCCUAUUUCCUACAUAGUGCACUACUUUUGACCAGGGCCCUUCAAAACUGGUGCACUAAAUAGGGAAUAGUUUGUAUUUUGGUACGUAGGCGUACUCUGUAAUUAUUUAAGAUCUGCGGUUUCCUCAACACCUGCUUUGACUUGCAAGACAAUGUCACAAAAGAAGAAAUUAAAAUGGCUGAUGUGUUUUAGAAUAAAGCACAGCUUCCAAUGGACGUUUAGUUUUGAAUAGGAAAGGACUGUGUGAAGACUGCCUCUGGAGGAUCGGAGGACUGUCAGACUACAGGGUUGAUUGUGAUUUGUGGUUUAAAAGGAGUGGUUAAUCAUUUGGUCAUUUGUACAUAUAUUUUUGCAUAUGAAGCAUUUUGUUCCAUGAUUUGCUUAAAUGAAAAUU